GCCACGUGGCCGCCCCCCCAAGGAGCGUGAUCCACACGCACCAAUUUCAGUGCCCAUGAAAGUUACUUCUCCUUCUUCUGGUGGCACUGGAAAGAAACGUGGACGGCCACGUAAGUACCCAAACGACACGAGUUCACCUUCUCCGGCGGUGACCCUCCCGCCGAGGGGCACUCCUAGAGGAAGAGGAAGGCCGCCGAAGGUGAAGACUCCUGUGGCUGCAGAAGUAGGGCAGUUCACCUUCUCCGGCGGUGUUUCCGCCGCCGAGUGGCACUCCUAGAGGAAGAGGAAGGCCGCCGAAAGUGAGGAAUCCGGUGGCUGCAGAAGUAGGGGCUUAAUUGAAAAGGGAAAAGUUGUUUUAGGACUUUUAGUGCUAAAAGCUAACUGUUGGUUAUCAAAAAUUUCUAUUUGGAUUUCUUUAUUAAGCCCUGUAGUUGUGUUUAAUGUCUUUUUAGGGUAGAUGUGUGUGACCGUUGAGUGAUUUGUAUGUUGUAACUGGGCCAUUGUAAAUGCAAAUUGAGGCUUUUUAGGCUUUUAUAUUUAAAAAAUCAGAAAGAUUCUGUUUCUUGAAUUUCCCUUUUAAAUAUUUUUGAAUUUCACUUUUGUACUUUUGCUUUUACUAUUAUAGCUUAAAAAACGGAAGCAGGCCAAGGCUAUUUCUCUUCUUGUUUAUAUGUUAGAUCCAAAAGUGGGAAUUCUUAUUGGUGAAGAUUUGAAGUAAAGGAAGUGUUGCAAGUGAUGUGCCUUUUUCAACCACAAUAAAUAAAGGGUUAAUACUUUAUUGUAUCAAAUGUUUAUAUCAAAUUAAUUAUGCUUAUAGGUUAAGUAAUUUAAUAAAGUUAAAAUAUAUUUAUUUAUUAUUUUAAAGUGAUAAAAAGAUUGUUUGGUAUAUGUAGUUGGAAAUAAUACUAUCCGCACUAAUUUUAGUAUUAUUAAUUCUUCUAUUGAUUUGUGUAAACACAGGAUGUUAGUAACUCUUUACCACAAAUAAAAUAGGAAAAAAUCAUUAAAAAUUUAAAGAGUGAGCACUGUGUUGGUAUUUCAGAUAAACUUUUCUUUCUUGCUACUUUGUGAAAAGUGGAAUGCAAUUUAUAUUAUGUCCUUCGGAUAAAUAGGAACUAUGUUAUAGGUAUAUAAUUCACUAGCUAUAAGAUCCAAAUCGUAUUUUAAAUGUUAGAAACGGUAAAUUCAGCUAUAUAUUGGAUCGACCGGUGUUGGAUUUUGUCCAUUAAAUAUUAGUGUUAAAAUAUCAUGAUAUAGUCAGUUUUCAAACUGGUCAAUCAACAAUAAACAACGUUUAUCAAGUCAAUGAAAAAUAGUCACUAUUUUGCUGCGAUAGAGACCGGUCCAAUAUAAUAUACAGGAGUUUUGAUGCAUUUAUGUACGAACUCUAGCAUAUUAUGCUGAAUCGGUAUUGUGACGACCCAAAGGGUCAUCACCGUAAUUCUCCCUUUCUCCGUGCUUCCGAGGCAUUGAAAAACCUUGUAUUUGGAUGCCUCGAUUUACGUGUGUAGUCUGGGCGCGAAGCCGGAAAAUUUUUAUGUGAAAAUAUAUGAAUUCUGUGUUAAAAACUAUGAAUUUUGAUGAUAAUAGUGAUAUAGUUGACUUUGGUCAACAUUUUGGAUAACUGAUCCGGACCCGUGAUGUGACGGUCCCGGAGGGUCCGUAGAAAAAUAUGGGGCUCGAGCAUAUUCCCGGAAUCGAAAUCCGAGGUCCCAGGCCCGAGUACGGAUUUUUUGAAAGAAAUUGUUUAUCUGAAAAUGAUAUGAAAUAUUGAAAUGAAAAUGAGUUAGAAAAUAUAGGUAUCGGGCUCGUAUUUUGGUUCCUACGCUGGUACAAGUCUUAAAUGAGCGUUAAGAGCUUUCUGUGAAAUUUGGUCGAAAUCGGACGUCGUAUGACAUAUUUCGGAUCUAAAUAUCUAAGAUUAACGUUUAUGAAGUUUGAAAUGGGAAAUAAUGAUUUUGGGGUUUAAUUAAUUGAAUUUGAUGUUAUUUUGGUGAUUUGAUCGCUCGACUAAGUCCGUAGAAUGUUAUUAAGCUAGUGUGUGUGUUUGGUUGGUAGCCCUGAGGGCUCGGGAGUGAUUUCGGGGGUGGUUCGGGAUAUUUUUGCCCUUAAAACUUAGCAGAUUUAGCUGCAUUUUCUGCACAGAUCUUUUCCUAUAUAUGAUCGCAUAGACAUGUCUGCGAUCGCAUAGAGCCUCCUUGAAGCCACCCCAUUUUGUUCAAUGCGAUGGCCGGGUAUCUUACGCGAUCGCAUACUUUGGCUAGUCCCUUCAGUGCGAACGCAAUGCCUUUGUCGCGAUCGCACAGUGUAAAGCCCCAAUCCGGACCAGGACCUUUUUUCCCUCCACGCGAACACAGCUCUCCUCCUGCGAUUGCAAUGACCAGUGGCCCCAUCUCUAUGCUAUCGCAAUCCAUUUCCUGCGAUCGCAUAGACCAAUUUUCGCCCAGCUAUUAUUUAAUUCCAGAACAGUCCACUUCGGGAUUUUUCACAAAAAUUUUACACGGGCUCUUCUCCUUCACCCUCCAUUGGCGAAAUUCAAGGUCUCCUUUUUCCAUAACUCUUUGGGUAAGUAUUCUUAACAUUAUUUCCUUAUUAUUUCUUCAUUGAAUCACUAAAAUCCUAGCCUAAAAACAUGAAAUCAAAGUAGAAAUUAGGGCUUUUGGGUAGAGUUAGAUUUUUGGAAAUUUUGGGCGAUUCAACCUCGAUUUGGGGUCGAAUCUUAAAAUAAAUUAUAUAUUUGAACUCGUGGGGUCAUGGAUGAUUGAGUUUAGGUCCGAGACUCGAGUUUGGACCAUAUGGGCCCGGUGUCGAAUUUUGAUAUUUUUGGAAAAAAUGAUAGGAAAUUCAUUUCUAGGCUAUGGAAUUAUGUUUUUAAGCCAUUAUUGAUAAUAUUGAACUAAUUAUGGCUAGAUAUCGUUUUUUCGAAGUCGGAUUCUAGAGGAAAAGCGGUGUUAGGGGCUUGAUUGCUAUUUUUGGACCGAGGUAGGUGUUUGAUCUAACUUUAGCUUGAGGGAUUAGGAUAAGGAUAUUAUUAUUUACGUGUUAACUGUGGAGUACGGUGUAUAGGCACGAUGACGGUUAUUUAUGUACUAGACUCUAGCAUGACCGUGAGUCGUAGUUGCUUUGAAUUUGAAAGAUGUGAAACAAUUAAGUUAAUUACUUGCUAAUUUAAUUAUGAAGUGAUAGCUGAGAAGGUAAAAGAAGAAAGUGUGGUAUUUUUCCCUUGCCGGGACUUAUUGUUGACUUAUUCUCCCUUGCCGGGAAGUUUAAUCUUGUUGUAAAUUUCCUUUCCCGAUUGGUUGUGACCGUUGAUUGGGUGAGUAAGAGCGAUUAUGCACGAAGGGUCUUUCCGUGCCAUGUUUUGAUAAUUAUGCACGAAGGGCCAUUCCGUGCCUUGUUUUUGAUUAAUUGAGCACGAAGGGCCAUUCCCUGCCUUGAUAUGAGAGUUGUAUAUGGAAAAGUAUGAAGGAUGAUAUCGUGCACUAUAUAUGACGAUUUUGCUAAGAAAUGAGAGUAAAACCACGAAGGUUGGUGUCGUGUAGUGUUGAUUUACUUGCUCUCUUUUAUUGAUGUUAAUUAUUCAGUUUCCAUUUAUUUGUUCACUGAUCUUAUAUCUAAACUGUUACACCCCACAGCAUGCCCCCUCCCUAUUGCCUAUUUAAAUUUUGUAUAUCUUUCCGUUAUUGCACAUAUAUCUGUACGGAUUAAUUGUGGUAGGUCCAGUCUAGCCUCGUCACUACCUCGCCGGGGUUAGGCCAGGCACUUACCAGCACAUGGGGUCGGUUGUGCUGAUACUACACUUCUGUGCCUUUUGUGCAUUGAUACCGUGCAGUUGUUGAUUCUCUUGCUUUCCUAUAUUGAUGUUAAAUAUUCAGUUUUCGUUUCUUGUUCGAUGGUCUUAUAAUUUAAUUUAUACACCCCACAGCAUGUCCCCUUCCCAUUAUUUAUUUAAAUUCUGUUAUCUUUCCAUUAUUGCACAUAUAUCUGUACAUAGUUAUUAUGGUAGGUCCAGUCUAGCCUCGUCACUACCUCGCCGGGGUUAGGCCAGGCACUUACCAGCACAUGAGGUCGGUUGUGCUGAUGCUAUACUUCUGUGCCCCUUUUGUGCACAAAUUUGGGAGCAGCUUACGGACCGCAUCAGCAGUAGAUUGGGAGCGUGCCUUCAGUCCAGAGACUCCUAGGUAGUUUGCUGGCGUGCACGGGCCCUGCGUCUAAUCUAUUUCAUUUCUGUUUGUUUUCAUUGUAUCGAAACAGACUUCUUAUGUAUUUCUUUCGGAGUCUUAUUUGUAGUAUUCCAUAAUAGUCCGAAAUUUGAUUCCAAGCAUAAACCCAAGUCCAAUAUUUUCCUACGAACCUUUCCGGACCUUCAAAUCACGAUUCCGGGUCCGUUUCCCAGGAAUAUUUAUCGAAGCCAAAUUUGGCCUUUUAAGAAAGCCUUAAAGAAAUAAUUGGUUUUAUUUUCACUCAAAACUCUUCUAACUUCCGAACUAAUCGCCCCUGCAAGUCGUAUUUAAGCUAAGGAAGACAUGGAGCAUUUUAUUUUAGGCAACGGGGUUCUAAAUAGUAAAACGACCAGUCGGGUCGUUACAUUAUCUAACUAAUUAACUAAUAAAUUAAAUUAUAAAUUAACAACUAAAGAUACUAAGGGUUAGAGACAAGAUUAAGGAGGUCUAGAGUUAUACUUUUUCCAAUUGUCAGAAUCCUUCCCGCUACGCUCCUAUAAUUUCGCCCAAUUAUUCUCUAAUAAUAGUGAGCAUUUCAAGUGUCGUAGUUCUCUUCCGAGCAACUAAAAUAAUUUACUAGACAUAUUCUUUCGAACUAUGCUAGCUGGCACUAUCUUACCACUGACUAUAACCACAUCACGACUUUGUUAUUUCUAAACCUACCUUUAAACAUGCUGUAUGGAGUCCUUAUAUACAUUGGGAGUGACAUUCUUUAAUAACUACCUAAAUAUGUACCAUUUCCCAAGCAAUACAUAAGAAAUAGGCACAGUCAAUUGAUGGCCAUUCAAUCAACAGAUAAGCAAGUAGUUGAACAAAUAAAGAAAUCCAAAGGCUAAAAGAUAUUCAAACUUAACAAGAAUUCAUCUUUCAAAAAAUUUCAUCAAAACCUUAAAUAAUAACUUAGCUACUCGUAGUAGUAUGUGAAAAUACAAUAUUAAAAUUCACAACCAACAAUAGAAAAUAGGAAGAAGAAAGGAAAAAUUCGUGGUUGAAUCUUCCUCCUUGCUCCUAGUGUAUUCUUGCCUCCAUAGGUAUUGUACAACCCUAAAGUAGUGUCUCCUCUUCCAAAGUUAGGUAAAAAUCAUGUUUUGCUUGUAUUUAUAUGACCCAGUUCGUCUAAUGCAAUCUAAAAUUGAUAGGAGAACUGGAGGCUGUCUACUUCCGGGUAGCGUGCGAUCAUGGACGCGGACUAAGCUUUUGCAAUUUUCCGGUUCGCAAAGCGAUCCGUACCUUUAUUUCUCUUCUUUGUUUUGCUUUCAUUUUUCUCCUUUUUCGCAUCCGUUUUUGUGUCACGCACGAAAUUGGACGAGCUACGAAUUCUUUCCAUCUCUUAUUUGGUGUCGAAUUGUCAUUUAUUUGAUAAUUUAUCAUCCAAACUCGUUCCUACACAUAAUAAGCAUAUUUCACUUUAAAAACCAUGUAAUUUUCCAUGUCUCAAACAAGAAUUAAUAUGCAAAUAUACUAAAAAAAUAUGCACUUUUCAUUAUUUGUCACCACCCCAUGCUUAAACUCUUGUCGUGCUCGAGCAACUUAAAAUUAAGCGCAUAGGCAAGAAAUACCUUUCAAAACAUAUUCAAGCAUCACACCAUAAUAGUGAUUUUUAUAAAUGCUAGAACCCGACAUAAGGACUCUUCAUACUUCCUUCAUCUUUAGACCAAUGCCAAGACUAUUUGAAAUAUUUGUGUCUCUUCUAACAUCCUAGCCUCAUAAAUUGACUGCACUACAUUCUUCUUUGUGACUUACUUUUUGUGCAAACUAAAGAUAUGAGUUCUUUACUACCUCAUUGUAAAGUAUGUGCCUUCACUAACAAAAGAAAGAGAGUAAUCAGUCUGCACAUUCAAAUAUGAGUUCAAGUAUAAUUUAAGGACUCAUAAAUAAAAUAAUUCACUCACUCUCGCAAAGAAAAUCAUGUGCUCCCAAAGUUCGUACCAUAGGCUUGCCUAUAAUGCAAGUCUAUACAAUUUAAGCUCGUAAAGUCUAAGAUUAAUUAGGUUUUCAUGGGUUGUAAUGUAGGAUAAGGGAUGGGUAAGAUAAAUAUGGAUAACAGUGACUAACCCUUCUAAGAACUUUUAAUAUAAUACACUUUAACUUCAAAGCACCUGAUCUUCAUGAUUACUCAAAUAUCACUACGAAACUGUACCUAACGUAGCCAUUGAUUUUAAGCACAUCUACAUAAGCUCUAACACAUAUAAAAGUAAAUUGGAGGAAUUUUUUUUUUCGUAUUUUUUUAAAGUCUUUUCAACACCCUCUAUAAAUGUGAAUUUCAAGCUAGUUGCUUUCUCAAUACAUACAUGCUCCUUUUGUCCUUUCUAUGGUUCCACUAAAAAACUACCCAAUCUCUUUUCCUUCUCUUUUAGAACUUAAGUUCUUUUGAAGGUAAAUGCUCAACAAGAUUUAAUUAAGAACAAAAGGGAUUUGUCUUGUAACGUGGGUACCAAGGAAAAGAUUUAUAUGCUCAAAUGGGCUAACAAAGGAUAAUUUUUAUCAUUGGUAGGAAAAUAGGCGGAAGGAUCAAUCAAGGAAACUCCUAUAUCAUUUCCUAAACUCACAAGACUUAAUACAUUCGCCUUGAAUCACACACAAGACAAGUUCUAGACUAACAAGGGAUGGUACAAAUUACAACCAAAAUCUCAUCUUACACAAUGCAUAUGACUUACUCAGGACGGCUCUGACCCAACUCUCAAGUUAAAGCAACUAGUACAGUCAUAAUAUAAUCCAAACACUAGGAAAUAACAACAAGAAUCAAUAGACGAGCCCAAGCGUCAAAAGAAACACAUAUAUUCUCAAGGCAUAUUGUCCCAAGAACAAAAAAAGAAAGUACUCAGUGCAAAUGCUCCAACUCUAUGCCCCAACAUAAAACAUGUCAAAAAGUAUUUAUACUCAAGUUCUUCCGAUUUCAUUAUCAGUUGAAUUUUUUUUUGUAUUUUUUUAGACUUUAAACCCUCAAGAAAACUGAUUAGGAAGUCCAUCGUUGGAAAACAUCCAAAUUUUUUUGAAAAUUCUACUUAAAAAAAAAAUUACAACCUGGUUCAAAAAGUCAUCACUUGCAAAAGAAUUGUGGUAAUAAGAAAAAUCAAAAAGGAAUUAUUUCUACCUAAUUAUUUUUUUAAUUUAUUUUUCUAAACAUAUAAAAUAACAUAACUUAACUAGCAUAUGAAUCCAUCUAUACAAUCUCUUCACCCACACUUAAACUUGUGCAUUGUCCCCAAUGCAUACCCGUAAAUACAAGAGGGUAUGAGAUACUCUCUGGUAGGCCAUAGGUCGAGGCAUUAGCAGCUCAUGGGGUGCUCAAACUUCUCUCAGACUUGAUUCUUUGUGAGGGCACCCCACACUUCGUUCUCAUUAUCUCACUUGCUUUGCUUUCUUCCAAUGACUUUGCUUUUCAAGCCAGAGAAUAAAAAAGCGACACUACAAAAAAAAAA
rnacentral:lncRNA from 1 species